rnacentral:rRNA from 1 species
AGCGAACGCUGGCGGCAUGCCUUACACAUGCAAGUCGAACGGCAGCGCGGGAGCAAUCCUGGCGGCGAGUGGCGAACGGGUGAGUAAUAUAUCGGAACGUGCCCAGUAGUGGGGAUAGCCCGGCGAAAGCCGGAUUAAUACCGCAUACGACCUACGGGUGAAAGGGGGGGAUCGCAAGACCUCUCGCUAUUGGAGCGGCCGAUAUCAGAUUAGGUAGUUGGUGGGGUAAAGGCCCACCAAGCCUACGAUCUGUAGUUGGUCUGAGAGGACGACCAGCCACACUGGGACUGAGACACGGCCCAGACUCCUACGGGAGGCAGCAGUGGGGAAUUUUGGACAAUGGGGGCAACCCUGAUCCAGCAAUGCCGCGUGCAGGAAGAAGGCCUUCGGGUUGUAAACUGCUUUUGUCAGGGAAGAAAUCCCUUGGGUUAAUACCUCGGGGGGAUGACGGUACCUGAAGAACAAGCACCGGCUAACUACGUGCCAGCCGCCGCGGUAAUAC